rnacentral:rRNA from 1 species
GAUGAACGCUAGCUACAGGCUUAACACAUGCAAGUCGAGGGGCAGCGGGAUUGAAGCUUGCUUCAAUUGCCGGCGACCGGCGCACGGGUGAGUAACGCGUAUCCCAACCUUCCGUACACUCAGGGAUAGCCUUUCGAAAGAAAGAUUAAUACCCUGAUGGUAUGAUGAGAUUGCAUGAUAACACCAUUAAAGAUUUUAUUGGUAAACCGAUGGGGAUGCGUUCCAUUAGGUAGUAGGCGGGGUAACGGCCCACCUAGCCUGCGAUGGAUAGGGGUUCUGAGAGGAAGGUCCCCCACAUUGGAACUGAGACACGGUCCAAACUCCUACGGGAGCAGCAGUGAGGAA